rnacentral:rRNA from 1 species
CGCAUCUGUGCAUGCAGCAUAUCAAUAAGCGGAGGAAAAGAAACUAACAAGGAUUCCCCUAGUAACGGCGAGUGAAGCGGGAAGAGCUCAAAUUUGAAAUCUUAAAGGGUUUCCCUUUACGAAUUGUAGUUUAAAGAAGUGUUUUCUGUUGAGGUUUUGGUAAAAGUUCUUUGGAAUAGGACAUCAUAGAGGGUGAGAAUCCCGUAUUUGACCUUUACUUUCAACUUUGUGAUACACUUUCAAAGAGUCGGAUUGUUUGGGAAUGCAGUCCAAAAUGGGUGGUAAAUUUCAUCUAAAGCUAAAUAUUGGCGAGAGACCGAUAGCGAACAAGUACCGUGAGGGAAAGAUGAAAAGAACUUUGAAAAGAGAGUUAAACAGUACGUGAAAUUGUCAAAAGGGAAGCGUUUGACACCAGUGUUGUUUUUCUGAAAAUCAAUUAAGGAACUGUUUAUGCUAAGUUGUUUAGACUUUAUCAGCUAACUGUUUAGUUUUGAGCUUUUCUUUAAUGCACUUUUCAGUUAACAAGUCAACAUCAAUUUCUUCUGCUGUAAAAAAGCUUGAGGAAGGUGGCUUGAGAUUCGUCUUAAGUGUUUAUAGCCUCUUGCCUAUGCAGUCGGAGAGAUUGAGGUCUGCAGCGUAGAUCCUUCGGGGCUAAAUGCAUUUGUGCUAAGUUAUAGCAUUUUAUAGACAACUUGUUGACUAUGAUUUGUCUUGUAGCUUACUCGCUUAUGUUAUUUUACCUACGCUUAGGAUGUUGAGUCAUCACACAUCUCU